rnacentral:misc_RNA from 1 species
AAAGUCGUAACAAGGUCUCCGUUGGUGAACCAGCGGAGGGAUCAUUAGAGAGUGUUCCACGCUCCCAACCCUGUGUGAACUUACCCGUUGCCUGGGCGGCAGCCCCCCCGGGGAGAUGGGCCUAGCCUGUCGCCUCUGAGGGGGGCCCGUCGAGGGACCAAACCAUGCAGAGUGUUAGGCAUUCAGAGCAGAGACAGUAGAAUGAGUCAAAACUUUCAACAACGGAUCUCUUGGUUCUG